GGUGAACGCUGGCGGUAGGCCUAACACAUGCAAGUCGAACGGCAGCACAGUAAGAGCUUGCUAUUACGGGUGGCGAGUGGCGGACGGGUGAGGAAUACAUCGGAAUCUACUUCUUCGUGGGGGGUAAAGUAGGGAAAAUUACGCUAAUACCGCAAACGACCUACGGGUGGAAGCAGGGGAUCUUCGGAACUUGCGCGGUUGAAUGAGCCGGUGUCGGAUUAGUUUGUUGGCGGGGGAGAGGCCCACCAAGGCGACGAUCCGUAGGUGGGCUGAGAGGAGGGGCAGCCACCCUGGAACUGAACCAAGGUCCAGACUCCUCCGGGAGGCAGCGGUGGGGAAUAUUGGACAAUGGGCGGAAGCCUGGUCCAGCCCUGCCGCGUGGGUGGAGAAGGCCCUCGGGUUUGAGAGCUCUUCUGUUGGGAAAGAAAAGCAGCAGGUUAAUACCCCGCUGUUCUGACGGUACCCAAUGAAUAAGCACCGGCUAACUUCGUG
rnacentral:rRNA from 1 species